GAUGAAUUCUUGUCCUGUCAAUUGACUUGUCAAUUCUUGAUAAAAGAGUUGUUAUUAAAGCGCUCCUCCUGAGCUCCUUAACCUAGAGCAAGCUGUGAUCAGCUGUAAUUGACUAAACAUUCGGCGGCUGAGAAUUUGGCAAAGUAUACAAUGAAUGAAGUCAUUGUUUUAUUCGACGGCUAUUCUAAACAAUUAGAUGAUGAAACUAUGGACGCUAAUUGUUCCUGCACUCUGAUAAAAGGUCAAAAAAAUAUUAUAGUUGAUACGAUGACAGCUUGGGACCGUGAGAGACUAGUUGAAGCUCUUCAUAAACAAAAUUUAGAUCCUCUGGAUAUUCAUUAUGUUGUGUGUACACAUAGUCAUUCUGAUCACAUUGGAAAUAACAAUCUAUUUAUUAACGCAGAACACAUUGUGGGUCAAUGCGUUCAGAGUGGAACAAAAUUUUAUGAGAAACGAAUAAAAGAUGGGAAGUACAAGCUCUGUGAGGGUGUAACAGUGAUAGCAACACCAGGUCACACUGCACAGGAUGUCAGUGUCCUAGUGGAUGUAGAAACCAAGGAUGGCAAACUUGUUUAUACAAUUACAGGAGGAGGAUAUCGAAGAUCCCUCAAUUUGGAAAGCACUUGGUACCAUCGAACUACAGGAAGUACAAAAAGCAAUGCGUAGCCAUGUCUUAGACCUAGCCAAUAUCAUCAUACCGGGUCACGGUCCAAUGUUUCCUGUUACAGAAGCAAUGAAACUACAAUCGAAGAGGGUGGAUUAACGAUAAGAGAAGUGGGGCAACUACAUCACUUGACGUGACACAAUCUUUCUCAACGUAUCCGAGACCAAGAAAAUAUUUCCGGCAGAGCUCAGUCAAAAAACUUACAAGGAAAAAAAUGAGAUUCAACACGGUGACCUCAAGGGGUUUACGGCACGAGUUAAAGCUAGUAAACUAUCAGUUCUUCAAGUUCUGAGCCAAUAACAGUCGAUAUUAUUUUUAUAUCAGUGAUUAAUUAUACAUAGAUAUAUAAUUAUAUAUGUAUAAUAAUUAUAAUUCACAUAAUACUUUUCCCUCCAAGAUUUUUCCACGUCAAAGGAUGCAACGGCCCUUUGUAAAAAAAAAUGAUCAUACAUUAAGCUUCGCUUUCUUUUGAAGCACUCUGAGCCAUGUGACUUUGACAAGGUCUCUAUAAUUCUAUCCCAUAGCAAAGGAAAAGAAAAGAACAUGGACCAAUCUCAUGUCGCUUGAACGCCUCUGAAGAAUUCUCAUGGGAUCACAAUUAAAAGAUAUCUAAAGAAUCC